rnacentral:lncRNA from 1 species
CUGGUAAAUGUUUGAGGCUCUCUUUGCGCUUAUUGCUAUAAAUACUCCCAUCAAAAUCAAAUAUUUCUAUAUACGCCCCCCAUAAAAAAAAUUAAAAAAAUAAACUUGGGCCCCUAUGGACAUGGGUCCUAGGCCACCGCACCCUAGCCUAUGCCUAGGGUCGGCCCUGAAACUUACAUAAUUAAAGUCAAUAUGUACAUGUAAAGUGGUCUUUUAUGAUAAUAAUGACAUGUGAUUAAAA